GGAAUUCGAUUCAGUCCUAACACAUGCAAGUCGAACGGUAACAGGUUAAGCUGACGAGUGGCGAACGGGUGAGUAAUGCAUCGGAACGUGCCCAGAGGUGGGGGAUAACGCAGCGAAAGCUGUACUAAUGCCGCAUAUUAUCUGAGGAUGAAAGCGGGGGACCGUAAGGCCUCGCGCCUUUGGAGCGGCCGAUGUCAGAUUAGGUAGUUGGUGGGGUAAAGGCCCACCAAGCCGACGAUCUGUAGCUGGUCUGAGAGGACGACCAGCCACACUGGGACUGAGACACGGCCCAGACUCCUACGGGAGGCAGCAGUGGGGAAUUUUGGACAAUGGGCGCAAGCCUGAUCCA
rnacentral:rRNA from 1 species